AAAAAGGCAAACCUUAGGUUUCCGUGCCAACGUUUGACUGUCCGUCUUAUAUGAAUUUUUUUUAUAAUUAGUAUUUUCAUUGUUGUUAGAUGAUAAAACAUGAUUAAUACUUUAUGCGUGACUUAUCUUUUUAAUUUUUUCAUAAUUUUGUUAAAUAAGACGGACGGUUAAACGUUAGACACGGAAACCAGGGUU
rfam:Oryza sativa Japonica Group DNA, chromosome 12, cultivar: Nipponbare, complete sequence.